rnacentral:rRNA from 1 species
UACGGAGGGGGCUAGCGUUGUUCGGAAUUACUGGGCGUAAAGCGCGCGCAGGCGGUUCUUCAAGUCAGAGGUGAAAGCCCAGAGCUCAACUCUGGAAUGGCCUUUGAGACUAGAGAACUUGGGUACGGGAGAGGUGAGUGGAAUUCCGAGUGUAGAGGUGAAAUUCGUAGAUAUUCGGAAGAACACCAGUGGCGAAGGCGGCUCACUGGCCCGUUACCGACGCUCAGGCGCGACAGCGUGGGGAGCAAACAGG